GACGAACGCUGGCGGCGUGCCUAACACAUGCAAGUCGAGCGGGGUUGAAGCGAGGGGUAACUCGGACUUCUACCUAGCGGCGGACGGGUGAGUAACGCGUGGGCAACCUGCCUCAAGGUUUGGGAUAACAGCUCGAAAGGGCUGCUAAUACCGGAUAUGCCUGUGGCCUCGCAUGGGGCUAUGAGCAAAGGGGAAACCCGCCUUGAGAUGGGGCCCGCGUCCCAUCAGCUAGUUGGUGAGGUGAAGGCUCACCAAGGCGACGACGGGUAGCCGGCCUGAGAGGGUGACCGGCCACACUGGGACUGAGACACGGCCCAGACUCCUACGGGGGCAGCAGUGGGGGAUCUUGCACAAUGGGCGAAAGCCUGAUGCAGCGACGCCGCGUGAGCGAAGAAGGCCUUGGGUGUAAAGCUCUGUCUGGAGGGACGAAGAAAAUGACCGGUACCUCCGGAGGAAGCCACGGCUAACUACGUAGCCCAGCAGCCGGACGGUAAAAUCGACGUGUACGUGAC
rnacentral:rRNA from 1 species